rnacentral:misc_RNA from 1 species
AACCAUAGAAACCUGCGGAGUACCUGCGGAAGGAUCAUUACCGAGUGCGGGUCCUCGUGGCCCAACCUCCCACCCGUGACUAUUGUACCUUGUUGCUUCGGCGGGCCCGUGCCCGCCGGAGACCCCAACAUGAACCCUGUUCUGAAAGCUUGCAGUCUGAGUGUGAUUCUUUGCAAUCAGUUAAAACUUUCAGCAAUGGAUCU